UACGUAGGGUGCGAGCGUUAAUCGGAAUUACUGGGCGUAAAGCGCACGUAGGCGGCUUUGUAAGUUAGAGGUGAAAGCCUGGAGCUCAACUCCAGAAUUGCCUUUAAGACUGCAUCGCUUGAAUCCAGGAGAGGUGAGUGGAAUUCCGAGUGUAGAGGUGAAAUUCGUAGAUAUUCGGAAGAACACCAGUGGCGAAGGCGGCUCACUGGACUGGUAUUGACGCUGAGGUGCGAAAGCGUAGGGAGCAAACAGG
rnacentral:rRNA from 1 species